rnacentral:rRNA from 1 species
GACGAACGCUGGCGGCGUGCUUAACACAUGCAAGUCGAACGGAAAGGCCCUGCUUUUGUGGGCUUCUCGAGUGGCGAACGGGUGAGUAACACGUGAGUAACCUGCCCUUGACUUUCGGAUAACUUCAGGAAACUGGGGCUACUACCGUAUAGGAUCUCCUGCUCCAGUGUAGGGGUUGGAAAUUUGCGGCUGUUGUGGAUGGACUCGCGGGUUAUCAGCUUGUUGGUUGGGUAGGUGCUUACCAAGGCUUUGACCGAUAGCCGGCCUGAGAGGGUGACCGGGCACAUUGGGACUAAGAUACGCACCAGACGGGUAUGGGAGGCAAUAGUGGGGAAUAUUGCACAAUGGGCGGAAGUGUGAUGCAGAGACGCUGCGUGCGGGAUGACGGUUUUUGGGUUGUAAACAGCUUUAGCCUGUGACGAAGCGUGAGUGACGGUACUGGGUAAAGAAGCACCGGCUAACUACGUG